GAUGAACGCUGACAGCAUGCUUAACACAUGCAAGUCGACUGGAACUUCGGGGUGGGUGGCGGCCGGGUGAGUAACGCGUAAAGAACUUACCUCACAGUUAGGGAUAACAUCCGGAAACGAAUGCUAAUACCUGAUAUUAUGAUCUUACGGCAUCCUUAGAUUAUGAAAGUAAUCUGCGCUGUGAGAGAGCUUUGCGUCCCAUUAGCUAGUUGGAGAGGUAGCGGCCCACCAAGGCGUUGGUGGAUAGCCGGCCUGAGUGGGUGAACGGCCACACAGGGACGGAGACAGAGACGUUACUCACUCGGGAGGGAGGAGGGGGGAAGGAAGGAUGAAGAAUCAACAGUAGGAUGCAGCAGUUCUGUGGGGAGAAUGAUGUAUUUCGGAAUGUAAAAUAGUUUCAGUUGCGAAGAAAAUAAUGACGGUACCAAGAGAAGAAGCGACGGCUAACUACGUG
rnacentral:rRNA from 1 species